AGGAAGUCUUACAUUGCGGACAUGCGCAUUUAAUCUGUGCCAUAAAUUGCGCAUAACGAAUUUCAUCCAACAGUAGUUUAGUACUCUCGUGUUCGUCUCAAAGGCAAUAAUAGGAAGUUCUAAAUUUUCAUAUUUAUUGCUGCAACGAGAAGAGCCAAGGGGUCAAUCGACCCUUGGGACGAGUGCGCUAUGGCGUCCGCUUCAGCCCCUGCAAAUGAAGGCAAACAACAUUCAAAUCCUCCAAAAGAAGAAACACAGAAUCAGCCAAGCGGCUCUAAUGUAGUUGCUUCGAUAGUCGUCCGGAUGGAAGUUGAUACUUGCGAGCCCACCUGGCCAGAGCAUGCCUGACCCACCGGUGUUUCAAGACUCUGAGAGGGGAAGGCCCACGUAAAGUGGGGCCGCCGCAGACGCAGGCAUAAAUAAAGCUUCUCUUUCUCCAAGGCGACCAAGGUCGACAAUUUAUUGUACUUAUCUCAUUCUCGGUGUUGUUGUAAUACAUAUAUAUAAUCUUUAUUUUAUUUUGUUAAUGUGUGUAAAUAUAUGCGUAUUUAUGAAAAUAUAAUUUAUGUUUCAAUGAAUGUGAAUGUAAAGAUUUCUAAAAAGUAAGAGCAAAAUUUAAAAUGUACCUUUUUUGGAGAAGAAUUUUCUGUGGUACAUUGGACGGAGGAAAAUAAAAAACCAACUCACGUUUUACACUUGUUUUAAAGAUGAAGACCGAGAUAGGGUUUGCCUUAAAUGGAAAAAGAUGAUAGCUUUUAAUAUCCAUCUUCCUAGACGUGGUGGUCUUCAUAGAUCACGUUACGUUUGUCUAAAUUAGUUUUGGGGAAUUUAGGGAGAAGGCGGGAUAUCAGAAUGGGGGGUUAAUAUUUUAGAAUAAUAUCGCAAGCGGUUAAGGCGAUUCAAUGUUUGAAAUUAUACUGAACACAUUUUUAAUAAUUAUAAAUAUUUUGUUUCCUAAUUUAGGCAUAAUCUGCAUGUUGACUGACUGUGUGGUUUUAAAGUUAAAUAGUCUUUUUUACGUUAAAUUACAUUUUAAUUAAUAUAAGUUAUGAUAAUUUUAUUGCAAGGAUUUUAGAGUCUAAUUUUAAAAGUAUUAAGCCCACUGCAACGUUUAAAAUCAGCAUUUUGAAGAGCAAUGAUAUAGGACGCGAAACAUAACGCAAGUGGAUAGUGAAACAUUAUUUAUUUUCAUGAAUACGCAUCGGUAUAUUAUAUAUAUUUAUGUGUUCAAUCAGUGACCUAAUGGCUGAGGUUUUACAAAUAUAAUCUGUGUGAAUAGUGAGUAACAUUUGCCAAAGUCAGAGUGGACACCUAAGCCAGAAAGGUUUAAACAUGAAAAUGUUAGUCCUAAUUAUUGCACUGUUUAGCUUUGAUAUGCAAAAUAAUACUAAAUAAUCUGUAAUCGUAUUGUAAGUGUGUAAAUUCCGUUUUUGUUUUCAUCGGAUACGUCAUUUGUAACAUGAGCAAAUGUAUUAGCGACAGUUAGUUAAAAGAAUAGUUAAAUGGUGUCAGUUCUGUUACGUCAUUUGUAAAUCAGUUUUCAUUGAUGUAUUAAUAUUGUUUAUAAUUUCUUCGUAAACUUCUACAUUGUAUCACUCAUCUGGUCUCGGUGUGAUGUUACGUGAAUUUUCUUUUCUUGAUAGCAGAAAGACAGAUUUUCGUUUUCAUAAUUUUGUGCAAAUUUUGUUUCAAUGUAAUUAUUUAAAUAAAAAGAUAUAUACGAUAACCGUUACAAGUAAACAUUUUAUAAAAACGUGUCUUUCUCUUUAUGAUGUUAAUCUUGGUAUAAUCUUAUAAAAGGACAUGUAUACCUACACCUUAACCUUUAGUUGUAAUAUUUGUUGUAAUCAACUUGUAUUUUCGAAAUCGUGUAAGGACAAUUAUAUAAAUACUACGAAUAUAUGUAUGAAUGUGUAUAAUAAAGCUUUCAAUUCGAUUAGUUAUUGUAAUGAA